UCGANCGAUGAAGUUCCUUCGGGAAUGGAUUAGUGGCGAACGGGUGAGGAACACGUGAGAAACCUGCCUUUCAUUCUGGGAUAACACCGGGAAACCGGUGCUAAUACCGGAUACUCCAUCUUGGCGGCAUCGCCGAGCUGGGAAAAAAUUUUGAUGAAAGAUGGUCUCGCGGCCUAUCAGCUAGUUGGUGAGGUAAAGGCUCACCAAGGCGACGACGGGUAGCCGGCCUGAGAGGGCGACCGGCCACACUGGGACUGAGACACGGCCCAGACUCCUACGGGAGGCAGCAGUAGGGAAUAUUGGGCAAUGGGCGAAAGCCUGACCCAGCGACGCCGCGUGAGGGAUGAAGGUCUUCGGAUUGUAAACCUCUUUCAGUAGGGAAGAAGCGAAAGUGACGGUACCUAAAGAAGAAGCACCGGCUAACUAUGUGCCAGCAGCCGCGGUAAUACAUAGGGUGCAAGCGUUGUCCGGAAUUAUUGGGCGUAAAGAGCUCGUAGGUCGUUUGUCGCGUCGAUUGUGAAAAUCUGAGGCUCAACCUCAGACCUGCGGUCGAUACGGGCAAACUAGAGUGUGGUAGGGGAGACUGGAAUUCCUGGUGUAGCGGUGGAAUGCGCAGAUAUCAGGAGGAACACCAAUGGCGAAGGCAGGUCUCUGGGCCAUAACUGACACUGAGGAGCGAAAGUGCGGGGAGCGAACAGGAUUAGAUACCCUGGUAGUCCGCACCGUAAACGGUGGGCACUAGUUGUGGGAACCUUCCACGGUUUCCGCGACGCAGCAAACGCAUUAAGUGCCCCGCCUGGGGAGUACGAUCGCAAGAUUAAAACUCAAAGGAAUUGACGGGGCCCCGCACAAGCAGCGGAGCAUGCGGCUU
rnacentral:rRNA from 1 species